rnacentral:lncRNA from 1 species
CAACUUCUUUUAUAGUAAACACCCUCAAAACACUAUUCACACAAGCAGUUUAGCAGCUCAGAAUCUAUUCCUCUUCGCAGCCCUUCUGAAUGUCCUUUUUCUCUCAAAUUUGAUAGUCAGGCUCGGUUUUACUUAAUAACUUUCCAAUUUCGACCAUUUUUGGUCACCGAAAGCCCUACCGAACUGUAAUCUCCAGCAGAUAGCAGUCGGAUUUUAUUUUUCACUUUUCGGUUGUCAGAAUGACAUGAAACUUUAAAUCUAGCCUCAUAAAAAUAAUUCUGAAAUAUUCUCAGAUUUUCAUAAUUUUCUGACACUGUAAAUUUUCUGCUAAAAUAUCAGCCCCGUUUCUCAUAGAAAAUUUUAAAAUUCCUGUUUUCAUUUCGAUUUCAACACGAGUCAUUCCAGACUUAUAUUUUACUUUUUUAAGUUGAAUAAAAAUAGUAUCUUCCACUAUUUUUAUUUACACUUAAUUUUAUAUUAAAAUCUGAUACAUUACAUUCUCCCAUCCUUAAAAGAUUUUCGUCCUCGAAACUUCAAUCACACCUCAACUCGACUUAUCGAGUAAUUGAGAACAACAAUACACUUUUCUACUCCGGA